rnacentral:tRNA from 1 species
GCAGCUGUGGCCUACUGGUUAGCGCUUCGGACUUGUAAACGGAGGGUUGCCGGUUCGAACCCCGACCAGUAGGCA